GUCUGUUUCCCACUCGCUGCAAUGGAGAUUUUCAUCUUCAUCGUUUUUCUUAUUAUGGAGGUACAGUGUUACAAUGCUCCUACUGUUCAUGUUUCUCCAGAUGUCAUUAGUGAGAUCAGCUCAGUGAAGAUCAGCUGUGAGACACCAGCAGAUGUUACAGUGACUCAGUGUUAUUUCACUAUAAUCAGAGAAGAUAAGAUUGUAAAAGUCAGUCCAUCAUGUGAGCUGGAGUUCAGUGGUGCUGAAUUGCUCAUAUGGGCAGGUGGAAAAUCACCUCAAUCAGUCGACAUUAUCUGUUACUACACAACAUAUGAGAGAGGAAUUAAUAACCCAUCAUCUCCUUCUCUUGCUGCCACAGUGACUGUUCUAGACACACUUCAGAAACCCUUCAUCAGUGUUAGUGAAGAUGAUUAUCUGCCCACAAUAUCAUGUGAAAUACCACUAUCAGUCAGAGCUAAAUUCAGAUGUAGUUUCUACACUGAAGACGAAGCUCGUCUGUACAGAAGUGUCUCUCAGAGGAGUCAAAAUAAAGAGAAUCAUAUUUGUAUAUUUUAUCCAAACUACAGUAAUCUCUUCACACAGUCAGUGAACAGCAGACAGAUAAGCUGUGAUUAUACAACAGCCACCAAGACUGACUUCACAUCCCCACGGAGUGACACAGUCACCAUCAGAGGUCUUUCUCAGGCCAGGCUGUCAGCAUCUGCUUUAGUUCUUCAGGAAACAGACACAGUUGAGCUGAGCUGUAAUAAUACUGAAGAGCUGAAGAUGGAGAUGUGUGUCUUCAACAAAUAUGAAAGAGAAAGUGACUCAAAAGUGAGCUCUUCAUGUCAGCUCUCACUCACUGCAUCUCAGAUCAGUGCUUGGUCUGGAGAUCAGAGUUCAUCAGUGAACAUAACCUGCUUCUACACUGUGAGGAAAGGACACAAUCAAACACCAUCUCCUCAGUCUGAUCCAGUGACAGUAACAGUCCAGACUUCAACACCAACCACCACAGCAUAUACUACUACAACAGCCAUGAAAACAUCAACGUUAACUGUAACACCAACUCCUGCAACCACAACAAACACAGAAUCUGACUUCCAAUCACAGACAGAUUCCAUGAU
rnacentral:lncRNA from 1 species